rnacentral:lncRNA from 1 species
GGGGUGGUCUCCAAUCAAACAGAGAAAAGGUCCUGGAGAAGAUGUAUCUUUAAAGCUGUCCUGCUGAAUUGGAAGUCCCUGGAGGGCAGAACUGGCACCCUGUUCAAUCUGGAAUGCCCAGAAAUUCAAUCAACAGAAGUCAGUAUUGAUUUCACACCCUCCUGGACCCCUAUUUGAGUCUCUGUGUGGUGGCCCCUCUCCCCGGAAGUGAAGUCUUCCAGACUAUGAUGCUGUUUUCCCUUGAAGACAUUGUGUCUGCCAUGGCUAUCUUGAGUGGAGGCUAGUCUUUUCGAGUGCCAUAGCUAUCUCAGAGCACAGGAUAUAUAGCAGGACUUGUGACCAUUUAAGCUACAAAAUUUGGACAAAUAUUUUGAGACAUGGCUUAAGCUUCAUGCUUUUUUUCUGUUUGUUUUUGUUUGUUUUUUGUUUGUUUGUUUUUCAAGACAGAGUUUCUCUGUAUAGCCCUGGCUGUCCUGGAACUCACUUUGUAGACCAUGCUGGCCUCGAACUUAGAAAUCUGCCUGCCUCUGCCUCCCAAGGUCUGGGAUUAAAGGCGUAUGCCACCAUGCCGGGCUAAGCUUCAUGUUUUUUAUAUAUGGAAUCUGUUAUUAUCGUUAAGAAUUUUAGCACCCAAGUAGAAAGGUUACUUGCCUUGGUUGAUUGCCUUGGUUGUUUUUCAUCUUUGAAAAAGUUUAUCUUCAUCUGAAAACCAAAAAGACAUAACUAUUAUUAACUAUCAGCAUGUGGAAAAGGAGAUUGGAGGGAUAUAAAGGAUAUAGAAAUGAGAUAAAGGACCAGACCUCACGCUUGUGACUUAUGAAGAUAAGAUCUCCUUUGAUUGACAGCCGAAGUUAAAACAAACAAGUGGGAAACUUGCCUGCAAAAAAAUCAGCAGUCAAGUUAAGAUGAUUUAAUCAAAUUUUCUAUUCAAAAUAAUUCCUUUACCCAAAGCCAUCAUGAGCCAUCUUUUCCCAAUUGAGUACUCGAAAGAAGAAAACUGGGCUAGAGAAACAGGAUCUCGGAUGAUUAUAAUUGAAGAGUGUCUAUUGCUCCAGAGCCACAAUCUAUGAGCUAGAAGACAGCUGGGACAGCAAAUUCUUGACUCGCUUAUCAUCAUGUUCCCUUUCCAUGGUCAGCCCAGACUCUGGGCUCCAUCACAACACACUAGUCUGUUCAGCAUGGAGUACCUUUUUUGCCUCUUCUAGUCCAGCCAUCCAGGCAAAUCAAUCAAUACACUAAUUUUAAACACAGAAAACCUAAAGGACACUUAAAUGUAAUUUUAUCAAGAGGAAGGAGAAAAUUGAUUUUGUACAUGCCCAACCUCUGUCUUAACUGAUACAAAGAUUUCAAAGGAACAAUGUUCAAUUUUAAGUGGCAAUUCAUAAGUGACCCAUCGUGUCAAGCUGGAGAGCAGGAGGGACACCCAGCUUUUUAAAGCGAGCUUAUCAAUCACUGUAUCCCGAAUAAGCAUCUUCAUCCCAGCUACAGAAAAUAGAAGGCUGUAGAAAAGAACAGGAGGCUAGCCAUGCUUUCAACCUUAUUUUAAAGUAAUUAUAUGAAAAAAGUCUGUGUUUAUAAACUAAUAAAUUAUACACUUUUAAAAUGU